AACGAACGCUGGCGGCAUGCCUAACACAUGCAAGUCGAACGAGACCUUCGGGUCUAGUGGCGCACGGGUGCGUAACGCGUGGGAACCUGCCCUUAGGUUCGGAAUAACUCCCCGAAAGGGGUGCUAAUACCGGAUAAUGUCUUCGGACCAAAGAUUUAUCGCCUUUGGAUGGGCCCGCGUUGGAUUAGCUAGUUGGUAGGGUAAAAGCCUACCAAGGCGACGAUCCAUAGCUGGUCUGAGAGGAUGAUCAGCCACACUGGGACUGAGACACGGCCCAGAAUCCUACGGGAGGGAGCAGUGGGGAAUAUUGGAAAAUGGGCGAAAGCCUGAUCCAGCAAUGCCGCGUGAGUGAUGAAGGCCUUAGGGUUGUAAAGCUCUUUUACCCGGGAUGAUAAUGACAGUACCGGGAGAAUAAGCACCGGCUAACUCCGUG
rnacentral:rRNA from 1 species